UUACAAGUUUAUUUAUAAAUAUAAAAUCCUAGACAAUUAAACAUUUAAACUAAAUAAAAAACUAAUUCUAAUUAAUCUGAUCGAGAAAGCAUGCCUAGAAAGCAUACUGUUGACUUCACCAAUGCACCAAUUCAGACAAUUCUUUACCAUAUCAAGAACAACAAUUUCCUAUUUAUUUUAAUUACCAAGUAUCGAGAAAGCAUGCUUUUAACGUUACUGCUUUGCUUUGCUGAGUCCUCGAGUCAUCACAGUUACCACUCAAGAUUCCUGCUCAAUAUUGAUCAGCACGCGGCCCAGGAAAGCUUACGACUUUUCGACCUUGCUCCUUCUCCUUUACGACUUUUCGACAUUGCUCCUUCUCCUUUUUCCGAAGUCAAUAACGAAGAAGUUUCUUUUUUUUUGGGGCUCUAAAAGGAAAGUUCACGACUUUUCGACAUUGCUCCUUCUCCUUUACGACUUUUCGACAUUGCCUUUGGAAUUUUCCGACGUCAAUA
rnacentral:lncRNA from 1 species